UUUCCACUGGCAGCUGGCACUCAAUUCUUACAGUUUUAUCUGGUAACAGGUGAAAGGAUCUCAGCCUAUUAUGAACUUUUAAAUGGAUAAAAAGUUUGCUGGCUUGGAACUGGGCAUGGAUUUCAAGGUGUCCAGCUGGCUACUUGUGGGAAACAAAACUGGCAUUGCUAUAUGAACUAAAUACUGGAAUUAAGGAGCCUGAUGACAACAGUCAUCAGAAACAGAAAUGUUGCUGGUUGAUUUAGACAGCAUGACAGUGGUCGCAGAAGUUCUGCUAUGGAGAAAUGAUCAACCCACUUACUAAUUCAGCAAGCCCUGAAAACUGAUGAAGCAUCGGGCUCCUAUCUAGCCAUCACCAGCAAGAAGAGCCAAAAUGGCUACGCCAGGAUGAAAAGGAGUGCUGCUGCAAUGAAAACAGAAGUCUAGUGUCUGAACCCAGAUGGAGUUGCCACAGGUA
rnacentral:ncRNA from 1 species